ACGAACGCUGGCGGCUGCUUAACACAUGCAAGUCGAACGGAGUGGCGAACGGGUGAGUAACGCGUGAGCAACCUGCCUAUGACAGUGGGAUAGCCUCGGGAAACCGGGAUUAAUACCGCAUAGUAAUAGAUGGGCUGGCGUCUGAUUAGCUAGUUGGUGAGAUAACAGCCCACCAAGUGGACGAUCAGGCGCCCGUUGUGGAGGCAUAACGGCCACAUUUGAACUGAGCAACGGGCCAAACUCCUACGGGGGGCAGCAGUGGGGAAUACUGCACAAUGGGGGAAACCCUGAUGCAGCGACGCCGCGUGAACGAAGAAGGUAUUCGUAUCGUAAAGUUCUGUCCUAUGGGAAGCAGUACCAUAGAAGAAAGCUCCGGCUAAAUACGUGCCAGCAGCCGCGGUAAUAC
rnacentral:rRNA from 1 species